rnacentral:rRNA from 1 species
AUUGAACGCUGGCGGCAGGCCUAACACAUGCAAGUCGAGCGAGCGGCGGACGGGUGAGUAAUGUCUGGGAGACUGCCUGAUGGAGGGGGAUAACUACUGGAAACGGGAGCUAAUACCGCAUACCAUCAGAUGUGCCCAGAGGGGAUUAGCUAGGAGGGGGGGUAACGGCUCACCUAGGCGACGAUCCCUAGCUGGUCUGAGAGGGUGACCAGCCACACUGGAACUGAGACACGGUCCAGACUCCUACGGGAGGCAGCAGUGGGGAAUAUUGCACAAUGGGCGCAAGCCUGAUGCAGCCAUGCCGCGUGUGUGAAGAAGGCCUUCGGGUUGUAAAGCACUUUCAGCGGGGAGGCGUUACCCGCAGAAGAAGCACCGGCUAACUCCGUGCCAGCAGCCGCGGUAAUAC